UACGAAGGUCCCAAGCGUUAUCCGGAUUUAUUGGGUUUAAAGGGUGCGUAGGCGGGCUAUUAAGUCAGUGGUGAAAGCCCCAAGCUUAACUUGGGAACUGCCAUUGAUACUGAUGGUCUUGAGUACAUUUGAGGUGGGCGGAAUGUGUCAUGUAGCGGUGAAAUGCUUAGAUAUGACACAGAACACCGAUUGCGAAGGCAGCUCACUAAACUGUAAACUGACGCUGAGGCACGAAAGCUAGGGGAGCAAACAGG
rnacentral:rRNA from 1 species